rnacentral:rRNA from 1 species
GAGUUUUGUACAUGGCUCAUGGACGAACGCUGGCGGCGUGCCUAAUACAUGCAAGUCGAGCGGACCGACGGGAGCUUGCUCCCUUUAGGUCAGCGGCGGACGGGUGAGUAACACGUGGGUAACCUGCCUGUAAGACUGGGAUAACUCCGGGAAACCGGGGCUAAUACCGGAUGCUUGUUUGAACCGCAUGGUUCAAACAUAAAAGGUGGCUUUUCGCUACCACUUACAGAUGGACCCGCGGCGCAUUAGCUAGUUGGUGGGGUAACGGCUCACCAAGGCGACGAUGCGUAGCCGACCUGAGAGGGUGAUCGGCCACACUGGGACUGAGACACGGCCCAGACUCCUACGGGAGGCAGCAGUAGGGAAUCUUCCGCAAUGGACGAAAGUCUGACGGAGCAACGCCGCGUGAGUGAUGAAGGUUUUCGGAUCGUAAAACUCUGUUGUUAGGGAAGAACAAGUACCGUUCGAACAGGGCGGUACCUUGACGGUACCUAACCAGAAAGCCACGGCUAACUACGUGCCAGCAGCCGCGGUAAUACGUAGGUGGCAAGCGUUGUCCGGAAUUAUUGGGCGUAAAGCGCGCGCAGGCGGUUCUUUAAGUCUGAUGUGAAAGCCCCCGGCUCAACCGGGGAGGGUCAUUGGAAACUGGGGAACUUGAGUGCAGAAGAGGAGAGUGGAAUUCCACGUGUAGCGGUGAAAUGCGUAGAGAUGUGGAGGAACACCAGUGGCGAAGGCGACUCUCUGGUCUGUAACUGACGCUGAGGCGCGAAAGCGUGGGGAGCGAACAGGAUUAGAUACCCUGGUAGUCCACGCCGUAAACGAUGA